GACGAACGCUGGCGGCGUGCCUAAUACAUGCAAGUCGAGCGGUAAGGCCCCUUCGGGGGUACACGAGCGGCGAACGGGUGAGUAACACGUGAGCAAUCUGCCCAUCACAUCGGGAUAACUCCGGGAAACCGGAGCUAAUACCGGAUACGACCACUUCAGGCAUCUGACGGUGGUGGAAAGUUCCGGCGGUGAUGGAUGAGCUCGCGGCCUAUCAGCUUGUUGGUGGGGUAAUGGCCUACCAAGGCUUCGACGGGUAGCCGGCCUGAGAGGGUGACCGGCCACACUGGGACUGAGACACGGCCCAGACUCCUACGGGAGGCAGCAGUGGGGAAUAUUGGACAAUGGGCGAAAGCCUGAUCCAGCAACGCCGCGUGAGGGAUGACGGCCUUCGGGUUGUAAACCUCUUUCAGCAGGGACGAAGCGCAAGUGACGGUACCUGCAGAAGAAGCACCGGCCAACUACGUGCCAGCCGCCGCAGUAAAAC
rnacentral:rRNA from 1 species